AACGCGAGAACGCACGUCUUUCUCUCGAACGACCCCUUCUUCUUCUUCUUCUCUCGGGGGUGUACGAACACGGCCGAGGAGGAAAGCAACACAUGUGCACCAAGCCGACGAGAUGAUGUUGCGCACAAAGAACGUCAUGCAACACCCCCUCGUCGGUGCGCAAACGCUGCACACAUGUUCCACCAGCGUUCACACAGUUUAUCCGACGAGUCCUAAUAUAACGACCGGCCGGGUACGCACGUACCAGUUUUUGAAAUAAAAUACGUAAUAUUCAAACGAA